rnacentral:rRNA from 1 species
GACGGAGGGGGCUAGCGUUGUUCGGAAUUAUUGGGCGUAAAGGGCGCGUAGGCGGCUUGGCAAGUGGAAGGUGAAAUCCCUCGGCUUAACCGAGGAACUGCCUUCCAGACUGCUUUGCUUGAGGCCGGGAGAGGCGAGUGGAAUUCCCAGUGUAGCGGUGAAAUGCGUAGAUAUUGGGAGGAACACCAGUGGCGAAGGCGGCUCGCUGGACCGGUUCUGACGCUGAGGCGCGAAAGCGUGGGGAGCAAACGGG